rnacentral:lncRNA from 1 species
CGCGUACCAGAUUUUGAAAAUCGGGAAUCUGUCCAGAACGGCAAAUUUGCACCACGCCAUACACAUCACUUGUCCUCCGGAACAGAUUGGACUCACUGCAUCAUACCCCCGUCCUCCUUGGUCGUACGUCGCCGCCGGAGCACAACCCCAUAACAUGGAAGAAAACCUGAACAGGAUGAGAAGCCCCCCGAGUGCUGAGGACCUCAAAAGGUGGCUAGCAAUCUUGUCGAGCUCGGGG